UGGGGAAUAUUGGACAAUGGGCGCAAGCCUGCUCCAGCCAUGCCGCGUGAGUGAUGAAGGCCCUAGGGUUGUAAAGCUCUUUCACCGGUGAAGAUAAUGACGGUAACCGGAGAAGAAGCCCCGGCUAACUUCGUGCCAGCAGCCGCGGUAAUACGAAGGGGGCUAGCGUUGUUCGGAUUUACUGGGCGUAAAGCGCACGUAGGCGGACUUUUAAGUCAGGGGUGAAAUCCCGGGGCUCAACCCCGGAACUGCCUUUGAUACUGGAAGUCUUGAGUAUGGUAGAGGUGGGUGGAAUUCCGAGUGUAGAGGUGAAAUUCGUAGAUAUUCGGAGGAACACCAGUGGCGAAGGCGGCGCACUGGACCAUUACUGACGCUGAGGUGCGAAAGCGUGGGGAGCAAACAGG
rnacentral:rRNA from 1 species